UUUUCUCUGCAAUAACUCUUUGUUCUACUCAUUUAAUUCACUAUCUUGUCAGGCUCAAAGCUAUAUCUGUUGGCCUAAGUGAUCCAGUCAGUGUGUAGUGAUUGGGACAACUGCAGAAAUGUCUAGCGCAGUUAUACCAAAACAGAAGGUUCUGGAAUCUGUCUUGGCAGUUUUUAUUUUUCUUGUUUGGUAAGAUAUUUUUGUGGGGUUUCAGGUAAGUUUUGUUUAGACUUGGUUGUUCAACCCGUGGGUUGGUUCAGCUGUAAAACUUGCCUUUUCAUCUCCUAGGUCCCAGUUCGAAUCUCUCAAGGGGUUAGUUACGCGAAGACACGUUUUUCAUGCUGAGCGAAUUGUAUGUAGAGUAUGGUUUUGAAUCCUGACUGAUGUAAUCCGGACUUACUAUUGUAUGAGUUAAGCAGUCGGUUGUGUAACACUCAUUAAGGUCAGUUGUGUAACACUCAUUAAGGAAGGAGACUGCCUGCAGAUUCUAGCUGCAAUGAUCACCCCUUAGCUAGCCUGGUAAUGUUUUUGUUUGUGGUUUCUUAAAAUCGCACCAAUCCAAACCAUAAACAUCCCAACUGCUAGUAACAGUGUUGGGAAAAUAAGAGUGGGAAAUGUAUAAAUAAAGAAUGUUAGGUAAGUCUGUGUCUUUCCUUUUUGUAUUAUUUGAAGCCUUGGAAAAGGAAAGAAAAAUAAAAUAGGAUGAAUUCUGUAUUUUCCCAAUUCUCAAUUUUGUUUGUCUUGCCAUUUUGUGGAUGGAAACAAGGAACUGAUUGUGCUCCCUCCCUCUCUCUCUCUCUCUCUCUCGACAGUGACAAGCAAUGGUAUUU
rnacentral:lncRNA from 1 species